UUUCCUUGAAAGGUUGCCUCAGUUAAUGAGCUUUUACAGGUCCCUUGGGCCUUCUGUGAUCAGAGUAGAUGACAUGAUCCUGGAAUAGUCAUCAUUCCCUACCAGUGAUUUUGGAAGGAAAACGUCCCUCUACAUAGAACUGCUGGCAUGGAUGGCCCUUUGAUUUUGGCAUGAGCGAUCGUGCAGCAUGUUUGAGGAGAACCUGUUCUCUCAUAUUUCCUUAACUAAAGAUGGCCUCUUUAGCAAGUUAGAGCUUUUUCAGUCUUAAGCAAUGCCUUUUUGCCCGCUUAGUUGAUGACUGAAAGGAAGAGAGAAUUUGAUCACUGAAUUUUCUGACCUGUCAUUGUGGAUCCGACCAAGUAGUGUUGCAACAAGGCUGAAAAUUGGAUUAGCUGCAUUUAGAAGAGAAACUUAAACCACUCCAGGUAAAAUAACCUUGUAAAGAAAAAGUAAGACUAUUUCAGAGGCCUUGGCUAGGUUCAUGAUGAUACAGGACCUUGUCUGAACAAAGUGAUUUCAAAAUUUGAGCUUAAAAUGACAUUCUGAAAUCCAGUCAAUGUGCCUCAUUACUUUUCAGAGAACAUUAUUCUUGAGAGAAUGUUGGCUUGACAUGUGAAAACUUUGAAUACUUAGAAAUGGCAGGUGUAGUAGUACACUUUGCCAGUUACUCAGAUACCCCUUUUUUAUUUUCAUAGAUAUUCUGGGAUAAUUCCUUUUUUUUUUUUUUUACUAUAUAUAUGUGCAUGCUGAUGAAAGCAAAAAAGAAAGCACAUCCUUGGAUCUGAGAAGGCACGCGUGUGGUGAGAUGGAAGCAAGGACACGCAAAAAGGAAAUUUAGCACCUCUUGGAUCAGACCUUGAAUGCCACAGUGCUAGGUGUUUAACUGAUGUCCAGGAAGGAGAGAAACUAAUAUUAUGAUGAAAUACAAUGAAUCUGUUGGAUAUGAUGGAAGAAAAACAUUUGCAGAUAAUCUGAGUACAGCUGUGACAUCAUCAGGAACAUUCCUCUUUUAUGGAGUUCCUUGAUUCAUAAGUCUUACCCAUGAAUCAAAGGAGAUGAUAAUUCCGAGAAAAGAUACUUUACCAAGUUCAUUUUUAAUCCCAAGAAUCGGUGCCACUGGAUCUCUAUUGCAAUAUUCCUCAUUCAGGUGUUCGUCACUGCCAUCUCUGGUCCUAGGAGUACCCCUUGGCGAUAUGAUUGUGAUGACUGAAUAGGAAACUGAUGCCAUUUCUUCUGACACCAUCUUCAUCAAACCAAAAGAUGGUCUUCAUAAUGUAUGGAGACUCUUUCGUGUGUUGCAGUGGACACUCCUUGCAGAUCAGAAAAACCGGACUGAGAAAGCUCAUGUUUUAAAGUAAUCUAAAGAGUGUAAUUGGAGAGAAUUGUAACCAGGCCUGUUGACAGUUUUCAUUGUUGCCAUUGGACUAAAUCUCAGGAGCUUGAAUGCCAGAGACGUUAUUACACAGAAUCUCAGGAUGGUGUAAUUGCAAGGCUUCAUUUCAGUGUUCCCAUAAGUAUUAAGUGCAUGUAUUUAUAAUUUUCACUUAUCACAGGAUCAACUUAAAAUUAUUUCAUAAAAAAUCAUCUUGUUCAAGAUUUUAAAGGUAUAGAAAUUUGUGAAGUAUGGUAUUUUUAACUCAUGCCCUUUUCCCCUCAUAAUUCUAUUCUCCAGCGUUAUCUACUGUCAGUGUAGUUUUGUGCACAUCUUUUUGGGGUGUGUUGAUAAACAGAUUGAUAAUGCAACUCUCUUUUUGGCCCAUAUUAUGUCUAUAAAUUUUCUAUGCCGUAAAAAGGCAUACAGAUAAAUUAUUUUGAUAAUUUCAGAGAAUUGGAACUGCUAGGACUAGGGAUGUCCAAAAAUUUAUGUUUUGAGUCAAAACUACAGCUUUCCCCCUAAUCAUAGAGAGAGAGUCCUCAUCACUAUUGUCUCCCAGUGUUUGUUCAUGAGAGUUCUGUUUCGUAAAAUGGUACACAUGUUAGAUGUCAGUGUUUUAAUCGUUAACAAUGCGAUAUUACGAAGAAAUUGCUUUUUUUCUUCUCUUGUUUGUCUCCAUCAUCUUCGUAUAUCCUUAAUCCUUACUAGUCAUUUGUGUUAUUUCAUUUUCCUCUGCUUUUUGUUUUUUUCCAUUUCCCUUGGAGUAUGAGUGUCUUUGUUGCUCAUUUCUAAAAGCUCAUUUAUAACUAAAGAUGUUAACCAUAUGUCAUGCAUUGCAAGUGAAAUACCAUGUUUUCUUUUCGGCAUCAUUUUACUGUGGUGUUUUAUUUUUUGGUUGUACAAAAGUUGUGUAUUGAAAUACAAUAAUGUUCUGUUUUAUGCCUUUUGAGUUUUGUGUUUUUCUUUUAAGAACAUGUUUGCAUUAGUAUCAUACAUUUCUUUCUCUGUAUUUUCUAAUACUUUUCAUUUUGUCCUUUUAUUUUUCCAUUAAUCAUUACCAUGGUAUUUAAAGUAUUACAUACUCAAAUUGUUUCCCUUGACUUAAGGAAUUACUGCUUAAUUUAAAUUCUGUAAUGAUAUGGAAAUUCCCACAUGAUUGGCUACAUUUCUAUUUAUUUGCUUUAUCUUAUAUUGAUACUUUAAAAUUACCAAUGGUUUCUAGUCUUAGCUAUUCCAUUGAAUUCUCUCAUUUCUCGUAAUUUUUCAGAAUAUUCCCUGUCUACACUCAAAUUUUUUCCCUCAGUUGACGCUUAAAAUUAUUUUCCAAGUUGGAAAAAAAUGCAAUUUUAAGUUCAUUUGCACCAAAUUUAAUAGAGUAAUUAGGAGAGAAUUAGAUCUCUUUAACUCAGCCUUCCUAUCCAACUGCAAGGUAUGUGUUUCUAUUUUUAAUUAAAUUAUGUGGGAAUAUUGCUAGUGUAGUUUUAUUUUCUUAUUUUUUGAUUAAUCCCAACUCAUCUCAUACUUUUGUCAGUGUAGCGAUGGGGAUCAUACACUCAGUUUUUCUUAUUAAUAUGUGAAAGCCAUUUCAUGUACUUUUCUAGUGACGUUUAAUUGAAAUACCAAAAUUAUGGUUUUCUUUUUUCACAAUUCAUAGGUGGUUUCAGAAUGUAUGAAAGCAGAAAGUGCCCUUGGUUAUUUCAUUCUUAAUACUAAUCCUGUUAAAGGUUUACUUAUGAGUCAUUUUAGGAGACAGCUUCCUUCCUUUCAUUGAGGAUUUUCCACUAAAUUUGAUGACAAGUUUAAUAAAAUGUCUUGUGUUUUACAGUUGAUCAUACUUGCCAUUAUAAUUAUUGACUAGGGUAAAAAUUAACUUUUUCUAAAAGUGAACAUUCUUGCAUCCAGUGAAUGAAUGAACUUAAUUGUGUAUGUGUGUAAUUAUAUAUAUAAAUAUAUAUGUAUGUAAAUACACACUUCCCUAUUAUAAUCAUUAUAAUUUUGUUUGCGAUUUCUGAAAAAAAUCUUAAACAACUUUAUUUUGUUUUGGUCAGGGUUUUGUGUUUGGUUAACUGGCUCUACUGAAAGUGUUUUGUGUAUUUUUGAUGUAGACUGGAAAGAAGUAUUGCCAUUAUUGCUUUAAUUUUUAUUUUGAAAUAAUUUUUGACACACAAAACUAUUGCAAAAGUAGUACGUAGUUUGUAAAAAUAUUCUUUAGAUUCCUCUUAUGUUAGCAAGUUUCAUAUGCAUGAUACAAUUAUCUAAACCAGGACAUUACCAUUGACGUACUGUUGUUAACUGAUCCUUUUUAUAGGUCCAGGAGUUAACGUGAAUGUUUGACCAUGCUUUCAAGUUUGAAAUGUUUGACCAUGCUUUCAGUUUCCAUGAGUCACAGUCAUGGGAUUUCUUAAAAUACAUCCCAAAUAGAAUCUGAUAAGGCACUUCUAUUUUCCCAUCUCCCAUGCAAGAAAUAACAACUUAAGACUUAGUUUUCUCUUAUAAUUUAUUCCGAAUGUAUUUUGUUAUAUCUCAGUAUUUGGGGCACCAGUAUUUUUGAAACACAAUCAUCAAACUACCUGUUGAAAAGUAUAAAAUGCAAUAAUAAUUCCUUAUAUUGUUAAUCACAAUGAAUAAUCAGUACCACCUAUGAAAUGCUUUUUGGUAAAAAAGUCUUAUUCCAAUUUGUCUUAUGUGUUUAAUUAAAAGUUAUGUUUAAAUCAG
ensembl:lncRNA